UACGGGGGGGCAAGCGUUGUUCGGAAUUACUGGGCGUAAAGGGCUCGUAGGCGGCCAACUAAGUCGGAUGUGAAAUCCCCAGGCUUAACCUGGGAACUGCAUCCGAUACUGGAUGGCUUGAAUCCGGGAGAGGGAUGCGGAAUUCCAGGUGUAGCGGUGAAAUGCGUAGAUAUCUGGAGGAACACCGGUGGCGAAGGCGGCAUCCUGGACCGGCAUUGACGCUGAGGAGCGAAAGCCAGGG
rnacentral:rRNA from 1 species